rnacentral:rRNA from 1 species
UGGGGAAUCUUGCGCAAUGGGCGAAAGCCUGACGCAGCCAUGCCGCGUGAAUGAUGAAGGUCUUAGGAUUGUAAAAUUCUUUCACCGGGGACGAUAAUGACGGUACCCGGAGAAGAAGCCCCGGCUAACUUCGUGCCAGCAGCCGCGGUAAUACGAAGGGGGCUAGCGUUGCUCGGAAUUACUGGGCGUAAAGGGCGCGUAGGCGGAUCGUUAAGUCAGAGGUGAAAUCCCAGGGCUCAACCCUGGAACUGCCUUUGAUACUGGCGAUCUUGAGUAUGAGAGAGGUAUGUGGAACUCCGAGUGUAGAGGUGAAAUUCGUAGAUAUUCGGAAGGACACCAGUGGCGAAGGCGACAUACUGGCUCAUUACUGACGCUGAGGCGCGAAAGCGUGGGGAGCAAACAGG